rnacentral:rRNA from 1 species
GACGAACCGUGCGAACGUUAUUCGGAAUCACUGGGCUUAAAGGGCGCGUAGGCGGGUCACCAAGUCCGGGGUGAAAUCCCACGGCCCAACCGUGGAAGUGCCUUGGAUACUGGAGACCUCGAGGGGGGUAGGGGCGUGCGGAACUCAGGGUGGAGCGGUGAAAUGCGUAGAUAUCCUGAGGAACACCGGUGGCGAAAGCGGCGCGCUGGACCCCUUCUGACGCUGAGGCGCGAAAGCCAGGGGAGCAAACGGG